rnacentral:rRNA from 1 species
AUUAACGCUGGCGGCGUGCCUCAUCCCUGCCAGUCGAGCGAACAGACGAGGAGCUUGCUCCUCUGACGUUAGCGGCGGACGGGUGAGUAACACGUGGAUAACCUACCUAUAAGACUGGGAUAACUUCGGGAAACCGGAGCUAAUACCGGAUAAUAUAUUGAACCGCAUGGUUCAAUAGUGAAAGACGGUUUUGCUGUCACUUAUAGAUGGAUCCGCGCCGCAUUAGCUAGUUGGUAAGGUAACGGCUUACCAAGGCAACGAUGCGUAGCCGACCUGAGAGGGUGAUCGGCCACACUGGAACUGAGACACGGUCCAGACUCCUACGGGAGGCAGCAGUAGGGAAUCUUCCGCAAUGGGCGAAAGCCUGACGGAGCAACGCCGCGUGAGUGAUGAAGGUCUUCGGAUCGUAAAACUCUGUUAUUAGGGAAGAACAAAUGUGUAAGUAACUAUGCACGUCUUGACGGUACCUAAUCAGAAAGCCACGGCUAACUACGUG